rnacentral:lncRNA from 1 species
UAAAAUAUAGCGACUCGCAUGCUAAAUAACAAGUUACAUAUUAAAGAAACUUGCUCAAUAAUAAAAUAUAAGAUUUAGAAUACUUGCAUCCUCAUGAACAAAUAGAUACAAGAGCUUUCUCAAUAAUAAACAAUCUAGCUCUACGAAUGAAACAACCCGGGUCAAAUUCCGAGUCCGGAAUAAAUCUCGGGUCAAAUCCCAAGUCCGAAUUGAAUCAAAUCCAUCAAAAUAAGGGCUCAAAC